rnacentral:rRNA from 1 species
UAGGGAAUCUUCCACAAUGGACGCAAGUCUGAUGGAGCAACGCCGCGUGAGUGAAGAAGGUUUUCGGAUCGUAAAGCUCUGUUGUUGGUGAAGAAGGAUAGAGGCAGUAACUGGUCUUUAUUUGACGGUAAUCAACCAGGAAGUCACGGCUAACUACGUGCCAGCAGCCGCGGUAAUACGUAGGUGGCAAGCGUUGUCCGGAUUUAUUGGGCGUAAAGCGAGCGCAGGCGGAAUGAUAAGUCUGAUGUGAAAGCCCACGGCUCAACCGUGGAACUGCAUCGGAAACUGUCAUUCUUGAGUGCAGAAGAGGAGAGUGGAAUUCCAUGUGUAGCGGUGGAAUGCGUAGAUAUAUGGAAGAACACCAGUGGCGAAGGCGGCUCUCUGGUCUGCAACUGACGCUGAGGCUCGAAAGCAUGGGUAGCGAACAGG